UACGUAGGGUGCGAGCGUUGUCCGGAAUUACUGGGCGUAAAGAGCUCGUAGGUGGUUUGUCGCGUUGUUCGUGAAAACUCACAGCUCAACUGUGGGCGUGCGGGCGAUACGGGCAGACUGGAGUACUGCAGGGGAGACUGGAUUCCUGGUGUAGCGGUGGAAUGCGCAGAUAUCAGGAGGAACACCGGUGGCGAAGGCGGGUCUCUGGGCAGUAACUGACGCUGAGGAGCGAAAGCGUGGGGAGCGAACAGG
rnacentral:rRNA from 1 species